AUAAGGAUGCGCAUCUGCCAACGAGAUGCAUCUGCCAAAACAAUCUUGCGUGUUUUGCGAAUAUAAAAUUCAUCAAAAAUUAUGGAGCUUCCUCAAGCAAAAAGAAAGGUUUCUGCCGUGUGGGACCACUUUGAUGUCAUUUCGGAAAAUAAGAUGACCUUUGGGAACAUUUUGAUCUCGAAGUGGGGAGGCAGACCAAAAGUGCCACAGCUGAUGCCAUCCUUGAGGUGCAGAGAUACAUGGCAGAGGGCAAUAUUGCGAGGUCCCAGGAUCCUCUUGUA